UUCAAUUUGGAUCACAUUAUCGGUUACCAAAUUUGAGACAUACCCUAAUUCCCAAACCCUCUCUUCUAUCUCUUCUCUUCUACCGCCUUCUCCACCGACGCAGCACCUCACGGCCACGCAGACGUCACGCUCCGGAAAAACUGCAAUCGACAGCCACCGACGAAAUCGGUUACAUUCGGAGGUCUAUUGUUUAUUCACCGACAGCAUCUUCGUCAUUGUCAUUCAUCUCAAAUGGAAGAAACUUAGAAUAUGCAAAAGUAAGAAGUAUAACGAAUCGCGUUGUCUCGGGUGGUUGCGUUGACUCAACAUUGCUAAGAUUCAAGAUGACUAAUAGAAGUUAUGCAACAUCCGAGAAUACGGUUUCAACCUCUCCACCUACCGUCUCUAAUGAAAUGCCACCUCCUCACACUAAGAAGCGAAAGAAUCGUUCAGAGGCUUGGAAUCAUUUCAUUGUAUCGUCAGAAGAAGAACAAAAAGCUUCGUGCAAAUACUGUGACACAAAGAUUAAGUAUAAUAAUGGAACUAGUUCCAUGCAUGCUCAUUUAUCGAGAUGUCUCACUUACAAGAGGCAAAAGACAUCAUCUUCUAUGACAAGUGCUGAAGAACAUGUUAGCUCUCCUAUAAUUGUCAAGUUUGACCAAGAAGCUAUUCGAAGAGCAAUGGUUAAGAUGUUCAUUAACAUGGAGAUUCCUUUUCGAAAGUUUGAACACGAGUCUUUUCAUGAAUUUAUGAGUCUCGCUUAACCAAGAUUUCAGAUUUGUUCGCACAUAACAUUGGCACGUGAUGUCUUGAAACUAUGGGACACAGAAAGAAUGAUUUUGAAAGAUUUUAUCUCUAUGAAUUGUCGAAGAGUUUGUCUCACCACCGAUAUGUGGACUUCUUGUCAAAACUUGAGCUAUAUGUGUGUGACGACCCAUUUCAUUGACAAUAAUUGGCACUUACAGAAGAAGAUCUUAACUUUUUGUCAAGUCACAAAUCAUACAGGGGAUUCUAUUUGUGAAACAAUGGAGAUGUGUUUGAAUAGAUGGGGUUUAAACCGCGUGCUUAGUUUGCUGGUUGAUAAUGCUUCAUCUAAUGAUGUUGGGGUUGAACGUCUCAAGAGAAGGCUUUUGUCCAAGAAUAGUUUAGUUAUGAGCGGAAACAAUUUUAAUAUGAGGUGUUGCGCACACAUAUUGAACUUAAUUAUGAAAGAAGGUUUGAAAGACAUUGAUGCUUCUGUUUAUAGAGUUCGUCAUGCUGUUUGGUAUGCUAGAUCUUCUCCCGCGAGGCUUGCUAAAUUCAAGGCAUGUAUUGAUGAGGAGAGAGAGCAUGGACUAUAAAGGUUUAGUUUCUCUAGAUGUUGAGACUCAUUGGAAUUCAACUUACUUGAUGUUAGUAUGCGCAUCAAAACAUGAAAGAACUUUUGAAGAAUUAGGUUACCAAAAUAAAAGGUAUGUGAAUGAGUUGACAAAAAAGGGAAGAGGUGUUCCGGCGAAAGACGAUUGGAAGCAUAUCAACUUAAUCAUUCCAUUCUUGAAAUCAUUUUAUGAUGCUACUGUAAAAAUAUCAGGGCCAUCUUAUUUGACAAGCAAUAUUUAUAUGUUUGAGGUCUUGGGUAUUGGAAAGAGCAUUGUGGCUAUGUGUGCGUCUGAAGAUGGACAUCUACGUUCAGCAGCUCAAAAGAUGAAGAAGAAGUAUGAUAAGUAUUGGGGGAUCCCAUGAUAAGCUUAACAUGUUGUUGUUGAUUGCUCUAGUUUUCGACCCUAGACGCAAGGUUAGAUUGGUUGAUUGGAUGGUACGAUGAUAUUAUAAUAAGGUUGAUGUUGAUGCCUUGAAAGGAACCUUAGAGUCUUGCUUGAAAUCUAUUUAUGAGGAAUAUUGUGUUGGAAUUAUGUCCCCUCAAGGUAAUUCAAAUGAGCCGCAAGUUUUUGGUAGUGUUAGUCAUCCUUAUGGAACUGCUGAGUUCUAUCUUUCAGAAGGGUGUGACAAUGCAGAUAAUGAAUUAAUUGCUUAUCUUGGAGAGAAGUUAGAGCAUAACAUGGAGAUAAAUGUUCUAGAAUGGUGGAGAGUAAACUCUGGUCGCUAUCCCAUCCUUGCAAACAUUGCAAGAGAUGUUCUAGCUAUACCAAUAACACAGUGGCGUCUGAAUCUGCAUUCAGUACAGGAAAAAGGGUGCUUGAUCCAUAUCGUAGCUCAUUAACACCUAAAAUAGUCGAAGCACUGAUAUGCACUCUGUAACGCCCGGAAAUAUAAGUAUAUGCUUAAUUUGGUCGUUUGUGACGUUUAUUGGAAUUUUACCGUUUUUGGAGUCGUUUCAGUCGGUAUUAGUUCGAGAUGGCGGACUAAUAUUUAAUUGAAGGUUUUCAUAUUUUUGGUACUAGAAAUAUUAUUAAGGUAAUAUUCUGCGUUUUGGGGUUUUUCUGAGCAAUUGAGUUUAGACCGUAAAGUAGAUAUUUUGUUGAGAUAUUUUGGAGAAGUAGGGGGGAUAUAGAAAAGAAUAUAAGAAAAGAAAAGAAAAGAAGAAAGAAAAACAGAAAGGAAAGAAAGAAGAGAGAAAGAAAGGAAGAGAGAAGAAGAAGAGGAAAAGGGAUUUUUGUGGAGAUCAAAACAAACCUUGAUCCAAGAACAAAUCCAAGAUUAGCCGCUGUGGGAGUCUUUUGGAAGAGGUAGUUCUCCAGUUGGUCUUGUCGGUCGCUCUGAUAUGUAUCACCGGAAUUGGGGUGUUACACACUCAGGAUUGGCUCAAAGGAACAUCUUCAUCCUUGAUUACAAAUGAAGAUUUUGAUCUUGAGAGAUAUGAGCAAGAAUUACUUUAUACGGAAGAUGGUGCUAGCGAUUCAACAUCUUCAACCUCUGUUGCACUCGAAGAGGACUUAUCCGUUUAAUUGCUGUACUGCAUUCGGUUGAGAUUGUGAUGGGACUUGAGGAAGAAUUUGGCAUUAGCGUGGAAGAAGAAAGUGCUCAUGAUCGACAAGCUUCUUGAGACCAAGGCUUAAACCAACAAAGAGGAGGACUUAAAAUGUCCAUUUUGGAGUGUCUUUUUUUUUUGUUGCUAUAUGAUAUUUGGUGUGUCAGUUUAAUUAAACUUCAUGUAACUGCUAGAUUUUUUGUGGACCAUAUUAGGAUUACAAUAAUGCUAGUUUUAAUCUUAAUUUUGUAGAACU